AAAAUGGAUGGCGCUGAAGCGCUUGAACCCACACCCGCCAUCGGGCGAGCCAAGCCCGAUGAGUAGGAGGGGCGGUGGUCGCCAUAAAACCUGUAUAGCGAGCCCCGCAGAGCGCCAUCGGGUGCAGAUCUUGGUGGUAGUAGCAAAUAUUCAAAUGAGAACUUUGAAGGUCAAGAGGGGAAAGGUUCCAUGAACGGCACUUGCACAUGGGUUAGCUGAUCCUAAGGGGACGGGGAAGCCCGUCCGAGAACGUCUCGAAGCGAAGCCCGGAAGGGAAUCGGGUUAAAAUUCCCCGAGCCCGACGCGACGGCGGACGGCAACGUUAGGAAGGUCGAGACGCCGGGGGGCUCCGUGAAGAGUUGUCCUUUUCGCUUAACGGCCCGCACUCGAAACGCUCACCGUAGGUAGGGUCCAGCGGUCGGAAGAGUGCCGCACAUCGCACGGCUGCUCGUCACCAACCCGGUCCGAUGAGCUAAUCGUCCAUUAACUCCAUUUUGGUCCUUGCAACCACGGACCAAAAUGCUUAAGCUGACGUUACGUAGUACACAUCAUCGCCCUUAUAAGUUAAUCACUCACAUUCCCCACUUCCGAUGUGGGACUAAUGGGAUGUUACAUUAUCCCCAACUCAAUUAGCUUGACGCCCUCGCGCCAAGGCCAGACAUAACCCAGAUCGAACCCUAGCAUAGUGCAUGUGAGGAUUAACUCGAUGGUGGCUCCACGCCCCGGAUGAGUUCUCGACUCCAUCCACGGGGUAGCCCUUUCCCUACCGAGCCCUCUCACCCCUGCCCAAAUGCUAGGGGGCUCGAUACCAAAUGUCACGAAUUCGGUCCGAUGAGCUAACUGUCCAAUAACUCCAUUUUGGUCCUUGCAACCACGGACCAAAAUGCUUAAGCGGGAUGUUACAUUAUCCCCAACUCAAUUAGCUUGACGUCCUCGUCAAGGCCGACAUAACCCGAUCGAACCCUAGCAUAGUGCAUGUGAGGAUUAACUCGGUGGUGGCUCCACGCCGUGAUGAGUUUCUCGACUCCAUCCACGGUAGCUCCUUUUCCUACCGGAGCCUCUCACCCCGCCCAAAUGCUAGGUCGGCUCGAUACCAAAUGUCACGACCCCGGUCCGAUGAGCUAAUCGUCUAAUAACUCCAUUUUGGUCCUUGCAACCACGGACCAAAAUGCUUAAGCUGGACUUCGUGAGUACACUCAUCGUGCCCUUAUAAGUUAAUCACACACAUUCCCCACUUCCGAUGUGGGACUAAUGGGAUGUUAGCACCCGGCGCCUUCUGCCGCCCCUUGUUUGAAAAUGAGGAGGACCGUGCCGCUCAGCCGGUCAUACUCAUAACCGCAUCAGGUCUCCAAGGUGAACAGCGACCCGCCCAUGGAACAAUGUAGGCAAGGGAAUUCGCAAAACGGAUCCAGAACUUCGAAAAGGAUUGGCUCGAGGGCUAGGCACGGGGUCCCGCCCCAACCCCCGGCUUUGUUGGACUGCGGAUCGCCGAAGCUGCUCGCGGGCGAGGCGGUCGCCGCGUCGGGCCGGGAUGGACCGAAUGGCCCCUCGGGAGUUUUCCCGGCGCCGAACAGCCGAUCAAGAACUGGUAACGGACAAGGGGAAUCCGAUUGUUUAAUUAAAACAAAGCAUUGCGAUGGUUCGCGAUGCUCACGAAUGUGAUUUUCGCCCGCUCUUUCGAAUGUCAAAGUGAAGAAAUUCAACCAAGCGUGGGUAAACGGCGGGAGUAACUAUGACUCUUUAAGGUAGCCAAAUGCCUGGUCAUCUAAUUAGUGACGCGCGAUGAAUGGAUUAACAAGAUUCCCACUGCCCUCGUUUACUAUCCAAAUAAAACCACAUCCAAGGGACGGGCUUAGCAGAAUCAGCGGGGAAAGUAGACCCCGUUGAGCUUGACUCUAGUCCGACUUUGUGAAAUGACUUGAGAGGUGUAGGAUAAGUGGGGAGCCGGUUCACCGCGGAAGUGAAAUACCACUACUUUUAACGUUAUUUUACUUAUUCCGUGAGUCGGAGGCGGGGCCCGCCCCUCCAUUUGAUUCCAAGGCCCGCCCUUUAGCGGGCCGAUCCGGCGGAAGACAUUGUCGUGGGGAGUUUGGUGGGCGCACAUCUGUUAAAAGAUAACGCAAGUGUCCUAAGAUGAACUCAACGAGAACAGAAAAAUCGCGGUGGAAAAAAAAGCAUAAAAGCUCGUUUGAUUAUGAUUUCCAGCAUUUAAUACAAACCGCGAAAGCGUGGGCCUAUCGAUCCUUUAGACCUUCGGAAUUUGAAGCUAGAGGGUGUCGAAAAAGUUACCACAGGGUAACUGGCUUGUGGCAGCCUGCCGCUCAUAGCGACAUUGCUUUUUGAUCCUUCGAUGUUGGCUCUUCCUAUCAUUGUGAAGCAGAAUUCACCAAGUGGUGGAUUGUUCACCCACCAAUAGCUUAACUUGAGCUGGGUUUAGACCGCCGUGGAGACAGGUUAGUUUUACCCUCACCGAUGAUCGUGGUCGCGAUAGUAAUUCAACCUAGUACGAGAGGAACCGUUGAUUCACACAAUUGGUCAUCGCGCUUGGUUGAAAAGCUAGUGGCGCUGGUUACCAUGUGUCGAUUAUGACUGAACGCUUCUAAGUCAGAAUCCUUGCUAGCAACCGGCGCCCGCUGUCGUUCGCCUCCCGACCCACAGUAGGGGCCUUUGGCUCCCCAUGGGCUCGUGGUCGCCGGUGUAGCCCUCGUGGUGGUAUAGCCACGGGCGCCAUCGGGAAGUGAAAUUCGCAUGGACGAUGGGGCAAUCCUUUGCAGACAACUUAAAUACGCCGAUGGGGCAUUGUAAGUGGUAGAGUGGCCUUGCUGCCACGAUCCACUGAGAUCCAGCCCCGCGUCGCGACGGAUUCGCCCCCCCCCCCCCCC
rnacentral:rRNA from 1 species